CCCUAGUAACUGCGAGUGAAGCGGGAAAAGCUCAAAUUUAAAAUCUGGUGGUCUUUGGCCAUCCGAGUUGUAAUUUAGAGAAGCGUCUUCCGCGCUGGACCGUGCACAAGUCUCCUGGAAUGGAGCGUCAUAGAGGGUGAGAAUCCCGUCUUUGGCAUGGAUCCCAGGGCUUCUGUGAUGCGCUCUCGACGAGUCGAGUUGUUUGGGAAUGCAGCUCAAAAUGGGUGGUGAACUCCAUCUAAAGCUAAAUAUUGGCGAGAGACCGAUAGCGAACAAGUACCGUGAGGGAAAGAUGAAAAGCACUUUGGAAAGAGAGUGAAACAGUACGUGAAAUUGUUGAAAGGGAAACGCUUGAAGUCAGUCGCGUUGACCGAGACUCAACCUUGCUUUGGCUUGGUGUAUUUCUCGGCUGACGGGUCAGCAUCAAUUUUGACCCUCAGAUAAUGGCAAGGGAAAGGUGGCACCUUUUAGGUGUGUUAUAGUCCCAUGUCGCAUGUGAGGGUUGGGAUUGAGGAACUCAGCAUGCACCUCUGGGUGUCGGGGCUUUGGCCCACGUUACAUGCUUAGGAUGCUGGCGUAAUGGCUUUAAACGACCCG
rnacentral:rRNA from 1 species